AAAAUAAAUAAAAUAAUACAAAUGACUACUAAAGAAAAUUAUUGAUCUGAUUGGUUGUGUUGUAGACAGCUGCAUAGAAGGCCCUCUUCUCUGCUGCUUGAAGAUCCCAGUACAUGACCCUAAUCUGUGUUGUCAAGAGGCAUGGCGGUGAUAUCACUUCACACAUGAGGAGAGCGGUACGUGGCGAGUGUGUGGAGAGCUUACCUGGUUGGGACAAGAUGGUGCCGUGAACAGACACUGAGCAACAACCGAGCAGCCAUGACCGGACCUAUUCUCCUGCCUGCCUACUUCCUCUCACAAAACAUUGAGGAACAAGCAAUCCAGCAGCUGCAGUCUGAGUCCCACAUCAUCAACUUGUCAUCGAUGAUAGAUCGUCUCUCGGCUGAUCUGUUAUUCCAUGUCUCGGCUGGUCUGAAUGAGGCAACGGUAGCGGAGGAGCAAGCACGACAACACAUAGGAACUUGCUAAUGGAUGCAUGGAGGAGGCUGAACAGGGAGCUGCUCUCGACUCAGCAGCAGUAGAAACAGACCGUCUUCUCUCAUUUGUUCAUGAACGUGGCUCUCAACAUUGUGAGUCUCUCAGUGCAUGUACGACUAUGAAGAUGAGGUCGGCGUCUUGGAGCAUGAGUCCAUGGACCGAGCCUACUGUGUCAUUGCCAAGCUCAUCCAAACAGCCUAAGUAAACCAUCAGUCGUUGCUUCCCACUCUAUCAACCAUGUUGGUGCCCAUUAACUGA